rnacentral:tRNA from 1 species
GGCCCGGUGGCAGAAUGGCCAUGCAGAGGAUUGCAAAUCCUUCAACGUCGGUUCGAUUCCGGCCCGGGCCUCCA